rnacentral:rRNA from 1 species
GGAGGUAAAUUUCUCCUAAGGCUAAAUAACGGCGAGAGACCGAUAGCGAACAAGUACCGUGAGGGAAAGAUGAAAAGAACUUUGAAAAGAGAGUUAAACAGUACGUGAAAUUGUUGAAAGGGAAACGAUUGAAGCCAGUCGUACCUUCGGGUAAUCAGCCUUUCGGGUGCGAUUCUGUGGAGUGUGAGGAGCUUAACACCUUCAUGCUUUGCAUAUUUGUGCUCUUGGGUGUACUUGCCCGUGUGGUUGGUUAACAUCAAUUUUGGUUAUCAUAAAAUGAUUGGAGGAAUGUAGCUUCGAUCUCGUAUUGAAGUGUUAUAGCCUUCGGUAGAUGUGAUGAUCGAGAUUGAGGAUUGCAACGGAUACCCUUCGGGGCUACCUGUCUGGUCUCUGAUCGUUGCUCUGGUGCCGAAAGCUUGCUUACGGUUAUCAAAGUCGAUGGUCAAUAGGUUAGAACGGGUUAAAUUCGUUAAGGAUGUUGACGUAA